rnacentral:rRNA from 1 species
GUAGGGAAUAUUGGGCAAUGGAUGCAAGUCUGACCCAGCCAUCCCGCGUGCCGGAAGAAGGCCCUCAGGGUUGUAAACGGCUUUUGACGGUGAAGAAUCGACAGGAUGCGUCCUGUUUUGACGGUAGCCGUUGAAUAAGCACCGGCUAACUCCGUGCCAGCAGCCGCGGUAAUACGGAGGGUGCGAGCGUUGUCCGGAUUUAUUGGGUUUAAAGGGUGCGGAGGCUGGAUGGUCAGUCAGCGGUGAAAAGCUGUCGCUUAACGAUAGUCUUGCCGCAGAUACUUCCUUUCUUGGAUGAGGAGGAGGCCACUGGAACGGAUGGUGUAGCGGUGAAAUGCAUAGAUAUCAUCCAGAACACCGAUUGCGAAGGCAGGUGGCUGUACCUUAAUCGACGCUGAUGCACGAAAGCAUGGGGAGCAAACAGGAUUAGAUACCCUGGUAGUCC